UGGGGAAUAUUGGACAAUGGGCGAAAGCCUGAUCCAGCAAUACCGCGUGUGUGACGAAGGCCUGCGGGUUGUAAAGCACUUUAGUGGGGGAAGAAGCGUACGCAAGUACGUUGACGGUACCCCAAGAAUAAGCACCGGCUAACUCUGUGCCAGCAGCCGCGGUAAUACAGAGGGUGCGAGCGUUAAUCGGAAUGACUGGGCGUAAAGGGCGCGUAGGCGGUAAUGUGUGUUAGAUGUGAAAGCCCCGGGCUUAACCCGGGAAUGGCAUUUAAAACUGCAUUGCUAGAGUGAAGUAGAGGUGAGCGGAAUUUCCAGAGUAGCGGUGAAAUGCGUAGAUACUGGAAGGAACACCGGUGGCGAAGGCGGCUCACUGGACUUUUACUGACGCUGAGGCGCGAAAGCGUGGGGAGCAAACAGG
rnacentral:rRNA from 1 species